rnacentral:rRNA from 1 species
UACGUAGGGACCAAGCGUUGUUCGGAUUUACUGGGCGUAAAGGGCGCGUAGGCGGCGCGGUAAGUCACUUGUGAAAUCUCUGAGCUUAACUCAGAACGGCCAAGUGAUACUGCAGUGCUAGAGUGUGGAAGGGGCAAUCGGAAUUCUUGGUGUAGCGGUGAAAUGCGUAGAUAUCAAGAGGAACACCUGAGGUGAAGACGGGUUGCUGGGCCAACACUGACGCUGAGGCGCGAAAGCCAGGGGAGCAAAAGGG